rnacentral:rRNA from 1 species
UUUAUGGAGAGUUUGAUCCUGGCUCAGGAUGAACGCUGGCGGCGUGCCUAAUACAUGCAAGUCGAGCGAACGGACGAGAAGCUUGCUUCUCAGAUGUUAGCGGCGGACGGGUGAGUAACACGUGGAUAACCUACCUAUAAGACUGGGAUAACUUCGGGAAACCGGAGCUAAUACCGGAUAAUAUUUUGAACCGCAUGGUUCAAAAGUGAAAGACGGUCUUGCUGUCACUUAUAGAUGGAUCCGCGCUGCAUUAGCUAGUUGGUAAGGUAACGGCUUACCAAGGCAACGAUGCAUAGCCGACCUGAGAGGGUGAUCGGCCACACUGGAACUGAGACACGGUCCAGACUCCUACGGGAGGCAGCAGUAGGGAAUCUUCCGCAAUGGGCGAAAGCCUGACGGAGCAACGCCGCGUGAGUGAUGAAGGUCUUCGGAUCGUAAAACUCUGUUAUUAGGGAAGAACAUAUGUGUAAGUAACUGUGCACAUCUUGACGGUACCUAAUCAGAAAGCCACGGCUAACUACGUGCCAGCAGCCGCGGUAAUACGUAGGUGGCAAGCGUUAUCCGGAAUUAUUGGGCGUAAAGCGCGCGUAGGCGGUUUUUUAAGUCUGAUGUGAAAGCCCACGGCUCAACCGUGGAGGGUCAUUGGAAACUGGAAAACUUGAGUGCAGAAGAGGAAAGUGGAAUUCCAUGUGUAGCGGUGAAAUGCGCAGAGAUAUGGAGGAACACCAGUGGCGAAGGCGACUUUCUGGUCUGUAACUGACGCUGAUGUGCGAAAGCGUGGGGAUCAAACAGGAUUAGAUACCCUGGUAGUCCACGCCGUAAACGAUGAGUGCUAAGUGUUAGGGGGUUUCCGCCCCUUAGUGCUGCAGCUAACGCAUUAAGCACUCCGCCUGGGGAGUACGACCGCAAGGUUGAAACUCAAAGGAAUUGACGGGGACCCGCACAAGCGGUGGAGCAUGUGGUUUAAUUCGAAGCAACGCGAAGAACCUUACCAAAUCUUGACAUCCUUUGACAACUCUAGAGAUAGAGCCUUCCCCUUCGGGGGACAAAGUGACAGGUGGUGCAUGGUUGUCGUCAGCUCGUGUCGUGAGAUGUUGGGUUAAGUCCCGCAACGAGCGCAACCCUUAAGCUUAGUUGCCAUCAUUAAGUUGGGCACUCUAAGUUGACUGCCGGUGACAAACCGGAGGAAGGUGGGGAUGACGUCAAAUC